GAUGAACGCUGGCGGCGUGCCUAAUACAUGCAAGUCGAGCGAACGGACGAGAAGCUUGCUUUUCUGAUGUUAGCGGCGGACGGGUGAGUAACACGUGGAUAACCUACCUAUAAGACUGGGAUAACUUUGGGAAACCGGAGCUAAUAUCGGAUAAUAUUUUGAACCGCAUGGUUCAAAAGUGAAAGACGGUCUUGCUGUCACUUAUAGAUGGAUCCGCGCUGCAUUAGCUAGUUGGUAAGGUAACGGCUUACCAAGGCAACGAUGCAUAGCCGACCUGAGAGGGUGAUCGGCCACACUGGAACUGAGACACGGUCCAGACUCCUACGGGAGGCAGCAGUAGGGAAUCUUCCGCAAUGGGCGAAAGCCUGACGGAGCAACGCCGCGUGAGUGAUGAAGGUCUUCGGAUCGUAAAACUCUGUUAUUAGGGAAGAACAUAUGUGUAAGUAACUGUGCACAUCUUGACGGUACCUAAUCAGAAAGCCACGGCUAACUACGUG
rnacentral:rRNA from 1 species